UCUUAACAUGAAUAAAAAUAUUUGACACAAGUAAAGCUGUGCCUAUCAUCCAUUAAUCGUCAACAAUAUCACUUUCAGUUCUCAACAACACUGAUUUGGGUUUCAAUUUCAUUCUGUUUCACUUGUAU